rnacentral:rRNA from 1 species
CUUUGCUGGCGACCGGCGCACGGGUGAGUAACACGUAUCCAGCCUGCCCUUUACUCGGGGAUAGCCUUUCGAAAGAAAGAUUAAUACCCGAUAGCAUAAUGAUUCCGCAUGGUUUCAUUAUUAAAGGAUUCCGGUAAAGGAUGGGGAUGCGUUCCAUUAGGUUGUUGGUGAGGUAACGGCUCACCAAGCCUUCGAUGGAUAGGGGUUCUGAGAGGAAGGUCCCCCACAUUGGAACUGAGACACGGUCCAA